rnacentral:ncRNA from 3 species
GGCCGUAACUAUAACGGUC